UACAGGGAGGGUGCAGCUGUUGUCGAAUUAUUGGGCGUAAAGAGCUUGUAGGCGGUUUGUCGCGUCUGCUGUGAAAUUCCAGGGCUUAACCCUGGGCUUGCAGUGGGUACGGGCAGACUAGAGUGUGGUAGGGGAGACUGGAAUUCCUGGUGUAGCGGUGAAAUGCGUAGAUAUUGGGAGGAACACCAGUGGCGAAGGCGGCUACCUGGACCGGUUCUGACGCUGAGGCGCGAAAGCGUGGGUAGCAAACAGG
rnacentral:rRNA from 1 species